UUAUAUUUAAGGGGGCAAAAAUAGAGAUUUUGAAAAGGCAGAAAUAACUAAUAAUUAAUAGAUAAUUUUUAGGUUGCGUUUCGUAUGUAAGUAUUUGUUUGAAUAUUAUGCGUCGAAAAAUCAUACGAGAUAAAGUGUUACAGCAAAGACUUUCUCCAGCCGAUUAAACAGAGCUCCGCGCUCUUAACUCUUCGCGCACUCCGAGACGAAUCAAUAAAGUGCCACAUUUUCAUCUACAUGCAUCACCAACGCUUUCAACGUAUUGCUUCAAGAU
rnacentral:lncRNA from 1 species